CGUUAUUCCCGGUGGGAUCCAGGGCGUCGGGAGAGAGAGAGAGAGAGAGAGAGAGAGAGAGCCGGCGGCAGCUGUACGCGCUCCUCGACCUCAUCCUCUUCGGGCCGGCUACCUCAAAUGGUCCUCCGGCGGCGGUGUAGAUCUCCGGAACCCGAUCGCGUGGCUCCAGCCUCGAAUGAGGUUAACCUGUUCGUUGACCAUAGCGAGGGGUGGUCCGCCUACCUACCGGAUGAUGUCGUUCGGCACCCACGACCAGGUGGUGGAUGAUGGCUUCGACGAGCGGAACCUUCCAGGUGGGCUUGUCUCUGCAAGGUAGAUGUUCCUCUUGUUAAGUGAUGCACCCUGUUCAGUCUCCAAUCCUCGAAGAACCUGACAUUUCAAGAUCGCUAGAGCAUCAAUGGAUCGAUAGAUACAAUAUACUAUCUGGAAGCAUCUUCUCUAUGAUGAGUAAGUUUAUCAUGCCUUUCAGUGGUAUUUAGUCACAUGGCACCAAGUCUCUAUACAACAUUCAGAGCAUACACCAAUUUUUAAUGGUAUUACUUCCAUGUAAUAUGACCAACCGCAUGCAGGAAUCCAAAGAAAGUGAAGCUUGUUCAAGGUGUAAAGAACAAGUAGCCAUUGCAGAGGGUAUCCUGAGAGAGCCAGAUGAGACUGGGGGAGGAGUGAAAGAGGUGGACACUCCUGCAUGGGAAAAGCCUUCCGUAGAAGGAGCCUGGCAGUCCCACAACAUAGUACGGCACAAGCAUAUCCCCCUUCUCCUCCUUAACCUUCCUCUUGUAUUCUUACAGGGAGCGGAAGACGUGAUCAAAAUCCUUUCCGGGGAGGUCAUUCGAGAAGAACUGGAUCUCCGGUGGCUCCUGAGGCCCCGUGCCUCCCCACAUGCCACUGACGACGUCGAGCACCUCGGAGACCACCAGCAAAAGUGUUAGGGCCCGAGGAACAGCCGAGGUCAGCCACCACCGUUCUCUCAAGGAGCAGCAGCUCGUAAACCCCUUCUAUUGCAUCCUCCGGCAUCGGCUUCGUCAUGAUAAAAGUGAUUUCGCCUGUAACGUAGUUGCAAGCCAGUGAUCAGAUAUGCUAUACACUUCAAGUUCAUGCAAACAGUUGAAGAGGAGCCAACCUGAAACUCAUAGUUGAGAGCAUAGCUGGUUUCCCCCGCCCCUCCAACCAUGUGAAGGACUUGUUCUACCUUCAUGCCCAUGUCUCCUCUGAGAACUUGUGGUGCUUCUGACGGUAAGCCUUUAGCAGCAGGACUUGUAUUAGUCCAUAAGUCUUCUUCUUUUUCCUUCUUUGGAGGCUGAAUGCUUCGAUCAAAGAUGUCAUUUGCAGGUGGAUCUUUCAGGAAGAGAGGAAAGCCUCCAAAUCCAUUGAAAGAGUUCACAACAAAGAGAGGAUCGUCAAAGGAAUGCCAAGAAACUCUGCCGAGUGCAAGAAUCGGAUACAGUGAGUUCCAGAGAUGCUGGUCCACAGAAGUCCCUAUCUGUAAUCCAAACUUCAUUAGCCACUGGAUUCUAUCUUGUGAUGUCCACAAAAAGAUUACUUAGAUUGCACUGUUGAAAAGCAAUACUGUCAUCGUACGAGCUUUCUAGAGAUAAUUAAGAUAAUUUGCAAGUGUUCA